UAUGGCCGAACUGGUAAAGGCAUUGCCGAUCACAGGCAAGGUUGCGGGUUCGAGUCCCGCUA
rnacentral:tRNA from 1 species